rnacentral:rRNA from 1 species
UGCGCCUUGCCAGCCCGCUCAGAAACUCAAAGGAAUUGACGGGGGCCCGCACAAGCGGUGGAGCAUGUGGUUUAAUUCGAUGAUACGCGAGGAACCUUACCUGGGCUCGAACGUAAGAUGACUGUAGGUGAAAGCUUACAUCUCUUCGGAGCAUUUUACGAGGUGCUGCAUGGUUGUCGUCAGCUCGUGCCGUGAGGUGUCGGGUUAAGUCCCAUAACGAGCGCAACCCUUACCGUUAGUUACCAUCAGGUUAAGCUGGGGACUCUAGCGGGACUGCCACCGUAAGGUGAGAGGAAGGUGGGGAUGACGUCAAAUCAGCACGGCCCUUAUGUCCAGGGCUACACACGUGUUACAAUGGCCGGUACAAAGGGCAGCUACUUCGCGAGAAGAUGCUAAUCUCGAAAGCCGGUCUCAGUUCGGAUCGAAGUCUGCAACCCGACUUCGUGAAGCUGGAUUCGCUAGUAAUCGCGCAUCAGCCAUGGCGCGGUGAAUACGUUCCCGGGCCUU